rnacentral:rRNA from 1 species
UAGGGAAUCUUCCGCAAUGGGCGAAAGCCUGACGGAGCAACGCCGCGUGAGUGAUGAAGGUCUUCGGAUCGUAAAACUCUGUUAUUAGGGAAGAACAAAUGUGCAAGUAACUAUGCACGUCUUGACGGUACCUAAUCAGAAAGCCACGGCUAACUACGUGCCAGCAGCCGCGGUAAUACGUAGGUGGCAAGCGUUAUCCGGAAUUAUUGGGAGUAAAGCGCGCGUAGGCGGUUUUUUAAGUCUGAUGUGAAAGCCCACGGCUCAACCGUGGAGGGUCAUUGGAAACUGGAAAACUUGAGUGCAGAAGAGGAAAGUGGAAUUCCAUGUGUAGCGGUGAAAUGCGCAGAGAUAUGGAGGAACACCAGUGGCGAAGGCGACUUUCUGGUCUGUAACUGACGCUGAUGUGCGAAAGCGUGGAGAUCAAACAGG